rnacentral:rRNA from 1 species
CCAUUCCGAACCCGGUAGCUAAGCUCCCCAGCGCUGAUGGUACUGCACUCGACAGGGUGUGGGAGAGUAAGACACCGCCGACA